rnacentral:rRNA from 1 species
UACAGAGGUCCCAAGCGUUGUUCGGAUUCACUGGGUUUAAAGGGUGCGUAGGCGGGCAGGUAAGUCCGUGGUGAAAUCUCUGAGCUUAACUCAGAAACUGCCAUGGAUACUAUUUGUCUUGAAUACUGUGGAGGUUAGCGGAAUAUGUCAUGUAGCGGUGAAAUGCUUAGAUAUGACAUAGAAACACCAAUUGCGAAGGCAGCUGGCUACACAAAUAUUGACACUGAGGCUCGAAAAGCGUGGGGAGUCAAACAGGAAU